CCCUUAGAUGUUCUGGGCCGCACGCGCGCUACACUGAACAGUUCAACAAGUCUUAACCUUGGCCGAUAGGUCUGGGUAAUCUUUGAACGCUGUUCGUGAUUGGGAUAGACCUUUGCAAUUAUGGGUCUUCAACGAGGAAUUCCUAGUAAACGCAAGUCAUCAGCGUGCAUUGAUUACGUCCCUGCCCUUUGUACACACCGCCCGUCGCACCUACCGAUUGAAUGGUCCGGUGAAAUCUCGGGACGGCGGCUUGGUCGCUUGCGUCCGACUGCUGAAACUUGAUUAAACCAUAUCAUUUAGAGGAAGGUGAAGUCGUAACA
rnacentral:rRNA from 1 species